GAGUACGGCCGCAAGGCUGAAACUUAAAGGAAUUGGCGGGGGAGCACCACAAGGCGUGAAGCUUGCGGUUCAAUUGGAGUCAACGCCGGGAACCUUACCGGGGGCGACAGCAGGAUGAAUGCCAGAUUGAAGGUCUUGCUGGACAAGCUGAGAGGAGGUGCAUGGCCGUCGCCAGUUCGUGCCGUGAGGUGUCCUGUUAAGUCAGGCAACGAUCGAGACCCGCACCCCUAGUUGCUACUGAGGAAGUUUUCCGAGGGGCACUCUAGGGGGACUGCCGUCGACAAGACGGAGGAAGGAGCGGGCCACGGCAGGUCAGUAUGCCCCGAAUCCCCCGGGCUACACGCGAGCUGCAAUGGCAGGGACAAUGGGUUCCGACCCUGAAAAGGGGAGGCAAUCUCUAAACCCUGCCUCAGUUUGGAUCGAAGGCUGGAACCCGCCUUCGUGAAAAUGGAAUGCCUAGUAAUCGCGCGUCAUCAUCGCGCGGUGAAUACGUCCCCGCUCCUUGCACACACCGCCCGU
rnacentral:rRNA from 1 species